rnacentral:rRNA from 1 species
GGCAUCGAUGAAGAACGCAGCGAAAUGCGAUAAGUCAUGUGAAUUGCAGAAUUCAGUGAAUCAUCGAAUCUUUGAACGCACAUUGCGCCCCUUGGUAUUCCGAGGGGCAUGCCCGUUCGAGCGUCAUUAUAACCCCUCAAGCCUAGCUUGGUGUUGGGGCCUGCUGUUACCGGCAGCCCUUAAAAUCAGUGGCGGUGCCAUCUGGCUCUAAGCGUAGUAAUACUUCUCGCUACAGGGUCCUGGUGGAUGCUUGCCAUCAACCCCUAAAUUUCAAUGGUUGACCUCGGAUCGGGUAGGGAUACCCGCUGAACUUAAGCAUAUCAAUAAGCGGAGGAAAAGAAACCAACAGGGAUUGCCUUAGUAACGGCGAGUGAAGCGGCAACAGCUCAAAUUUGAAAUCUGGCUCUUUCAGGGUCCGAGUUGUAAUUUGUAGAAGAUGCUUCGAGUGUGGUACCGGUCUAAGUUCCUUGGAACAGGACGUCAUAGAGGGUGAGAAUCCCGUA